rnacentral:rRNA from 1 species
UACAGAGGUCCCAAGCGUUGUUCGGAUUCACUGGGCGUAAAGGGUGCGCAGGCGGCCGUGUGUGUGAGGCGUGAAAGCCCGGGGCUUAACCCCGGAAUUGCACCUCAAACUACACGGCUAGAGCAUUGGAGAGGGUAGCAGAAUUCAUGGUGUAGCAGUGAAAUGCGUAGAUAUCAUGAGGAAUACCAGAGGCGAAGGCGGCUACCUGGACAAUUGCUGACGCUCAGGCACGAAAGCGUGGGGAGCGAACAGG